rnacentral:rRNA from 1 species
UACUAGAGUAGCACUCGCAUAUCAAUAAGCGGAGGAAAAGAAACUAACAAGGAUUCCCCUAGUAACGGCGAGCUGAAGCGGGAAGAGCUCAAAUUUGAAAUCUUAAAGGGUUUCCCUUUACGAAUUGUAGUUUAAAGAAGUGUUUUUCUGUUGAGGUUUUGGUAAAAGUUCUUUGGAAUAGGACAUCAUAGAGGGUGAGAAUCCCGUAUUUGACCUUUACUUUCAACUUUGUGAUACACUUUCAAAGAGUCGGAUUGUUUGGGAAUGCAGUCCAAAAUGGGUGGUAAAUUUCAUCUAAAGCUAAAUAUUGGCGAGAGACCGAUAGCGAACAAGUACCGUGAGGGAAAGAUGAAAAGAACUUUGAAAAGAGAGUUAAACAGUACGUGAAAUUGUCAAAAGGGAAGCGUUUGACACCAGUGUUGUUUUUUCUGAAAAUCAAUUAAAGAACUGUUUAUGCUAAGCUUGUUUAGACUUUAUCAGCUAUCUGUUUAGUCUUGAGCUUUUCUUUAAUGCACUUUUCAGUUAACAAGUCAACAUCAAUUUCUUUUGCUGUAAAAAAAGCUUGAGGAAGGUGGCUUGAGAUUCGUCUUAAGUGUUUAUAGCCUCUUGCCUAUGCAGUCGGAGAGAUUGAGGUCUGCAGCGUAGAUCCUUCGGGGCUAAAUGCAUUUGUGCUAAGUUAUAGCAUUUUAUAGACAACUUGUUGACUAUGAUUUGUCUUGUAGCUUACUCGCUUAUGUUAUUUUACCUACGCUUAGGAUGUUGAACUACUGAGACAUAGA